GGGUUGUGAGGUUAAGCGACUAAGCGUACACGGUGGAUGCCCUGGCAGUCAGAGGCGAUGAAGGACGUGCUAAUCUGCGAAAAGCGCCGGCGAGGUGAUAUGAACCCUUGACCCGGCGAUGUCCGAAUGGGGAAACCCAGUGCAAUCCGUUGCACUAUCGUUAACUGAAUACAUAGGUUAACGAGGCGAACCGGGGGAACUGAAACAUCUAAGUACCCCGAGGAAAAGAAAUCAACCGAGAUUCCCCCAGUAGCGGCGAGCGAACGGGGAGCAGCCCGGAGUCUGAAUCAGCUUGUGUGUUAGUGGAACGGUCUGGAAAGUCCGACGGUACAGGGUGAUAGUCCCGUACACGAAAGCACACAUGCUGUGAACUCGAAGAGUAGGGCGGGACACGUGGUAUCCUGUCUGAAUAUGGGGGGACCAUCCUCCAAGGCUAAAUACUCCUGACUGACCGAUAGUGAACCAGUACCGUGAGGGAAAGGCGAAAAGAACCCCGGCGAGGGGAGUGAAAAAGAACCUGAAACCGUGUACGUACAAGCAGUGGGAGCCUCUUUAUGGGGUGACUGCGUACCUUUUGUAUAAUGGGUCAGCGACUUAUAUUCUGUAGCAAGGUUAACCGUAUAGGGGAGCCGAAGGGAAACCGAGUCUUAACUGGGCGUUAAGUUGCAGGGUAUAGACCCGAAACCCGGUGAUCUAGCCAUGGGCAGGUUGAAGGUUGGGUAACACUAACUGGAGGACCGAACCGACUAAUGUUGAAAAAUUAGCGGAUGACCUGUGGCUGGGGGUGAAAGGCCAAUCAAACCGGGAGAUAGCUGGUUCUCCCCGAAAGCUAUUUAGGUAGCGCCUCGUGAACUCAUCUUCGGGGGUAGAGCACUGUUUCGGCUAGGGGGCCAUCCCGGCUUACCAACCCGAUGCAAACUACGAAUACCGAAGAAUGUUAUCACGGGAGACACACGGCGGGUGCUAACGUCCGUCGUGAAGAGGGAAACAACCCAGACCGCCAGCUAAGGUCCCAAAGUCAUGGUUAAGUGGGAAACGAUGUGGGAAGGCACAGACAGCCAGGAUGUUGGCUUAGAAGCAGCCAUCAUUUAAAGAAAGCGUAAUAGCUCACUGGUCGAGUCGGCCUGCGCGGAAGAUGUAACGGGGCUAAACCAUGCACCGAAGCUGCGGCAGCGACACUAUGUGUUGUUGGGUAGGGGAGCGUUCUGUAAGCCGUUGAAGGUGGCCUGUGAGGGUUGCUGGAGGUAUCAGAAGUGCGAAUGCUGACAUAAGUAACGAUAAAGCGGGUGAAAAGCCCGCUCGCCGGAAGACCAAGGGUUCCUGUCCAACGUUAAUCGGGGCAGGGUGAGUCGACCCCUAAGGCGAGGCCGAAAGGCGUAGUCGAUGGGAAACAGGUUAAUAUUCCUGUACUUGGUGUUACUGCGAAGGGGGGACGGAGAAGGCUAUGUCAGCCGGGCGACGGUUGUCCCGGUUUAAGCAUGUAGGCGGAGGUUCCAGGUAAAUCCGGUACCUUAUUAACGCUGAGGUGUGAUGACGAGGCACUACGGUGCUGAAGUGAUAAAUGCCCUGCUUCCAGGAAAAGCCUCUAAGCAUCAGGUAACACGAAAUCGUACCCCAAACCGACACAGGUGGUCAGGUAGAGAAUACCAAGGCGCUUGAGAGAACUCGGGUGAAGGAACUAGGCAAAAUGGUGCCGUAACUUCGGGAGAAGGCACGCUGAUGUGUAGGUGAAGCCCCUGCGGGCGGAGCUGAAAUCAGUCGAAGAUACCAGCUGGCUGCAACUGUUUAUUAAAAACACAGCACUGUGCAAACACGAAAGUGGACGUAUACGGUGUGACGCCUGCCCGGUGCCGGAAGGUUAAUUGAUGGGGUUAGCGGCAACGCGAAGCUCUUGAUCGAAGCCCCGGUAAACGGCGGCCGUAACUAUAACGGUCCUAAGGUAGCGAAAUUCCUUGUCGGGUAAGUUCCGACCUGCACGAAUGGCGUAAUGAUGGCCAGGCUGUCUCCACCCGAGACUCAGUGAAAUUGAACUCGCUGUGAAGAUGCAGUGUACCCGCGGCAAGACGGAAAGACCCCGUGAACCUUUACUAUAGCUUGACACUGAACACUGGUCCUUGAUGUGUAGGAUAGGUGGGAGGCUUUGAAGCGUGGACGCCAGUCUGCGUGGAGCCAACCUUGAAAUACCACCCUUUAAUGGCUGGUGUUCUAACGUAGACCCGUAAUCCGGGUUGCGGACAGUGUCUGGUGGGUAGUUUGACUGGGGCGGUCUCCUCCCAAAGAGUAACGGAGGAGCACGAAGGUUGGCUAAUCCUGGUCGGACAUCAGGAGGUUAGUGCAAUGGCAUAAGCCAGCUUGACUGCGAGCGUGACGGCGCGAGCAGGUGCGAAAGCAGGUCAUAGUGAUCCGGUGGUUCUGAAUGGAAGGGCCAUCGCUCAACGGAUAAAAGGUACUCCGGGGAUAACAGGCUGAUACCGCCCAAGAGUUCAUAUCGACGGCGGUGUUUGGCACCUCGAUGUCGGCUCAUCACAUCCUGGGGCUGAAGUAGGUCCCAAGGGUAUGGCUGUUCGCCAUUUAAAGUGGUACGCGAGCUGGGUUUAGAACGUCGUGAGACAGUUCGGUCCCUAUCUGCCGUGGGCGCUGGAGAAUUGAGGGGGGCUGCUCCUAGUACGAGAGGACCGGAGUGGACGCAUCACUGGUGUUCGGGUUGUCAUGCCAAUGGCACUGCCCGGUAGCUAAAUGCGGAAGAGAUAAGUGCUGAAAGCAUCUAAGCACGAAACUUGCCCCGAGAUGAGUUCUCCCUGAGACCUUGAGUCUCCUGAAGGAACGUUGAAGACGACGACGUUGAUAGGUCGGGUGUGUAAGCGCAGCGAUGCGUUGAGCUAACCGAUACUAAUGAACCGUGAGGCUUAACCUUACAACGCCGAAGGUGUUU
rnacentral:rRNA from 2 species